UGCAGUCGAACGAAUGUCAGUUUUGUAGCAAUACAGAGCUGGCGGAAGUGGCGAAAGGGGCAGUAAUGCAUGGGUAACCUACCUUGGGGAUGGGGAUAGCCGUUCUAACGGACGGGUAAUACCCAGAGAUUCAGUGGGAAGGCAUCUUUCUGCUGGGAAAUGAAUUUCGCCUCGAGAGGGGCCCAUGUGCUAUUAGCUAGUUGGUAGGGUAACGGCCUACCAAGGCUAAGAUGGCUAGCGGGUGUGAGAGCACGACCCGCGCCACUGGCACUGAGACACUGGCCAGACACCUACGGGUGGCUGCAGUCGAGGAUCUUCGUCAAUGGGCGCAAGCCUGAACGAGCGACGCCGCGUGCGCGAUGAAGGCCUUCGGGUUGUAAAGCGCGAAAGUGGAGAGAAAGGGAAACUUGAUCAAUCCACAGUAAGGACGGGCUAAGUUCGUGCCAGCAGCCGCGGUAAGACGAACUGUCCUAACGUUGUUCGGAAUCACUGGGCUUAAAGGGCGCGUAGGCGGUCGACCAAGUCAGGGGUGAAAUCCUGCAGCUUAACUGUAGAAGUGCCUUUGAUACUGGUCGUCUGGAGGGAGGUAGGGGUGUGUGGAACUUCCAGUGGAGCGGUGAAAUGCGUUGAUAUUGGAAGGAACGCCGGAGGCGAAAGCGACGCACUGGACCUUUUCUGACGCUGAGGCGCGAAAGCUAGGGGAGCAAACGUGAUUAGAUACCCCGGUAGUCCUAGCCCUAAACGAUGGGUACUAGAUUGUAGACUUAUCAUGGGUUUACAGUCGAAGCAAAAGUGUUAAGUACCCCGCCUGGGGAGUAUGGUCGCAGGCUGAAACUCAAGAAUUGACGGGGGCUCACACAAGCGG
rnacentral:rRNA from 1 species